AGCCUGCCUGCAUAAAAAUCUGCACGCAACCAAGCCUGCCCACGAAAGAAAGCUGCAGCCUACACGCACGCAAGCCAGCCUGACCGCCACAUUAUGUGACGUCCAUAACAAAAAGAAUGUCCAGCACUUCAUCUUCAAGUGAGGCCAGGAGAUGUGCUCCAACAUGACGUCGGCAACAUGAUAUGUCAUCGUCUGUGGAGGAGAUGCUUUCCGUACAAGGGAUGGCAGGAGAGGAGGAAGUCCGGGGGUGGAGGACAGCAAGCGUUAUCUCGUCCCGUUGACUUAGAGAGAGUUUGUCAAGCCUGAGCCAGAGGAAGUUGGGGAGCACGUGGCUCGUGGUCGUGUGAGUAUAAAAACAUUAUGUUAAUUGUAUGUUAUUUUUUUAGGGUUCCAGAGCCUCACCAGAACGGAUGAGGAGGACGUUGCUGGUUUUUGGAUUGACAACGACCUCCUCAUCCAGAUGGUGGAGGACCGACCACCAUUGUGGGACCAGACCGACCGCCACCACGCAGACCAUCACGCAACCUGGCUCCUCUGACUCCAGAUUUGUGAGUCUAUAGUUCCUAAUAGGGACAAUCUCAGUGACAGUUGACGGGAUGAGUGCCGUAAGUAUAUCUUUUUUGUCAAAAUCGGUUUUCUGUGUGGUUGAAGUGGGUCACUGCUACCAAUUUUUUUUAUUGUUGUUGUGGCAGGUUUAAUCAAAUAGUAAACCAUUUUUGAUGUCUGAAAACAAAGUAUUUUUAAGACAAAUUAUGUUUUUUGUUUUGUUUUUCUUGUUGCCACGGAUGACAAUAAUGGUGCGCUGACGGUCAAUGAUGACCGCUACAAGAAGGACUUCAACGAGGAGGUUAAGCGCCUGAGUGGGUCUGGAAGAACCCGGAAGCGGCCAUACAGAUAUUCAGCCGCAUUUGGAUUCCUAAGACGUACCCUACAGCUGCGAAGCACAUCAAGCAUUACUCGGGUGCCCGAAGCUCCUUGUGAAGUCCAACCGGAGGCAGUCGCACCGGAGGCAGUCCCUGAAGAGGUGCCCAUCAUGGGUCCCUCUCAUCCUACAUUAGCCCCGCUUUUCGAGGCCCUCAUGCGUCACCGGUAGGAGCCAUCAGGCGGACUAUGAGGAUCUCACAAGGCUCGUUUACAAGUUCUUGAUGGGAUUCAGCAAUAGAGUUGCUGCUUUGGAGGACACUGUGCGACUUCUGUAGGAGGGAGUGUUGCUGACGUCGCAAUUGGGUCUGGUGCAUCACUAUUGGUUAUCGUUGCUCCCCCUAAUUGGAACGGUUUACGCCUGACCAGCUGUUUGAGACCCAAAGACAGAUGGACAGCAUAUUGUGGCAAGUACAGCACCGCCCCACAUCCCUUCCCCCACCCCAGCCCUAUCCCCCGCCCAGCCCUAUCCCCCAUCCAUGCCCUAUCCCCAUCCCAAACUACCUAUCCCCAUCCCAACCUCAACAUCCCCCUUCCCAAACUACCUAUCUCCCAUCCCAACCUCCUCAUCCCCCAUCCCCAUUCCCAAACCCCCGAGCUCUUUACUCAGCACUUUUCUACCUCUCCUCCUCAUUACUUUCCUCCAACCACUUUCACCACUACUUCAACUCUUGCUCAGUCAACUCCUUCUCCUGCCCCAUCCUCCAGAUUGCAAACUCCCUCUGUUGUACUUCCCACAACACACAGUUAUAUGUCCACAGGGGCACAAGAACAGGACAGAGGGGGACCAAACCGUGUUCUGCCCUCCACCCCCCAACC